rnacentral:rRNA from 1 species
UACAGAGGUCUCAAGCGUUGUUCGGAAUCAUUGGGCGUAAAGAGCGUGUAGGCGGCUCGAUAAGUCUGCUGUGAAAGUCCAGGGCUCAACCCUGGAAGGCCGGUGGAAACUGUCGGGCUAGAGUCCGGAAGAGGCGAGUGGAAUUCCCGGUGUAGCGGUGAAAUGCGCAGAUAUCGGGAGGAACACCAAUGGCGAAGGCAGCUCGCUGGGACGGUACUGACGCUGAGACGCGAAAGCGUGGGGAGCAAACAGG